rnacentral:lncRNA from 1 species
CGAGGCGGGGACUGCGAGCCAGCCCCACUUCCCCCCUGGCUCUUGGGACCACCAUCGCAGUGGGGGGAGGCACCCCCCGCGAGGCGGGGACUGAGAGCCAGCCCCUCUUCCCCCCCUGGCUAAGACCCCCAUCGCGAAUCCUAAGAUCCUUAGGACCCACCUGGAGGACCCUGGGUAUUAGGUGUCCAAGAAGAAAGCUCAGAUCUGCCGACCGCAGGUACCUUACUUGGGAUUUACUAUACCACAGGGGUCCGAACGCAGCCCGGGAUCAGGAAGAAAGCAGGUCGUUUGCAAUCUACCGGAGCCUAAGGGCAGAAGGCAGGAUCGUGGGAACAAUAUCCCAUGGGGGUGUACCCUUUCUGCCAUAUAUGUAGUCACAUCACCCACUCCGCCUUGGAAUAUUAUUAAGGACCAUCUAACACGAGGGUGUAUACGUCCUGUGAUAUUGGGAGUAAUAUCAACUUCUCGGCCUCUGAAUAUGAGGAAGAAUAUCACAGGGAUAUUAAUAACAAUUUCACAGGCUGGGUGAACACAGCCGGCGAUGCUGAAAUUAUUAUCAUCCUCUCCCCCUCUUCCCCUCCUGGCUCUCAGUCCCCGCCUCACGGGUUAUGUAGCGGGUUAUGGCAAGAAGACAAACUGCAGUUUCCUGCACAGAACAGCACAAACAAUGAUCCAAGCUCAGUUACAACACAAUAUUGGUCAUCAUUUGACCAUGGACUUCAAUAUCAACCCUUAGAAACCUUCCUAAAACAGGUCAGCAAAACACCAAGAAGCAAUAUCCUGAAUGAUAGGAAAAUAUCCUUGCUUGUGCAAAUUGUUUCCACUUAAUUUUUUUCAACAAAUGUUAAUUAUAUUUUUACUUUCUAAAAAUUUUUAAUAAAAUAUAGCCUACUUG